UGUACCUCGUCAUUAGUCUUCCAGGUGUGUGUGGAGACGGCCUCACCUCGCAGCACGACCGCUGUGUGACUGGGUCCUUUCUACUUUGAGCGUCCUACCUAAGACAACAGAAAUGUCUCGACGCCAUGAGGGAGGAAAGGAGCGGGGGAACAGAGGUGUCAAUCGCCUGUCACUGAAGGUGCUUCGGGACAACAUCCAGUGUAUCACCAAGCCAAGGGCGCAUGCAGUCUUUCCGAGACAUUCGACAAGGAUCUUACUGGUGCCAUCAAGCCCGGAUCAACUGCAGCUGCAAUGUUCAAGUUAAGUGCUUAAUAAUAUGUCUUAUGGGGUUUGAAAUGGUAAUGGUUGCAGAUAUGGACUCCUUUUGCAUUCAGGGCUUCAGUCCGUUUCCGUGGUGUACAGGCCUGGUGUGUGGCUGGUUUGGUUUCUGUGACUGUGUCGAUAGUCUAGAUGGAUUCGGCGUUACUGUAAAUUCUGCUGUUUCUUAGUAAACAGGGUUUUCCCUGGUUCACCAUCUGUUGUCAUUUCUGUUUUAUGUCAUGGUCAGUGGUUUUCGGGGACCUAGACCAUUACAUAAGCUGCCUCGUGUCGUUUUCUUGGGUCCCGAACCAAGAGGACGACACAGGCCAGAAAGAAACACAGGUGGUUGAACAGUCUAUUUAAUAUUAGUAGUUUAUUCCUUUAGAACAAGGACGUUAUAUCAGCUAUAACGUCCUUGUUUAGAAAUACUCGACAUCUCGGCGUCGACACAGUCACAGAAACCGAAUCAGCCAUUCAUUGGGCUUGUACACCACAGAAACAGACUGAAGCAAUGAGUGCAGAAGUAGCCAUAUAUAGCUCUCGAAAUUUAAACUGAAGUUCUUAACUAUAUUUCUGAGCCAAGUUUAAUCUUUGUCUCGUUUUUUCUUUCUUUCUACCGAGGAUCAUUGCACCGUACGAGGAAGUGUCUGGACAGGGAAAGGGAGGCGAGGACUGGUGAGGGAAGGUACCGGACGUGACCGACUGGGGAUUCGCAGUCUUCCCACACAUAUGACAAGGUAUCUAUUGUGUGAAAGCAC